CCUACGGGGGGCAGCAGUGAGGAAUAUUGGUCAAUGGACGAGAGUCUGAACCAGCCAAGUAGCGUGAAGGAUGACUGCCCUAUGGGUUGUAAACUUCUUUUAUAUGGGAAUAAAAUGUUCCACGUGUGGGAUUUUGUAUGUAACAUAUGAAUAAGGAUCGGCUAACUCCGUGCCAGCAGCCGCGGUAAUACGGAGGAUCCGAGCGUUAUCCGGAUUUAUUGGGUUUAAAGGGAGCGUAGGUGGAUUGUUAAGUCAGUUGUGAAAGUUUGCGGCUCAACCGUAAAAUUGCAGUUGAAACUGGCAGUCUUGAGGACAGUAGAGGUGGGCGGAAUUCGUGGUGUAGCGGUGAAAUGCUUAGAUAUCACGAAGAACUCCGAUUGCGAAGGCAGUUCACUGGACUGCAACUGACACUGAGGCUCGAAAGUGUGGGUAUCAAACAGGAUUAGAUACCCGUGUAGUC
rnacentral:rRNA from 1 species